AUGCAUGCUGCACUACACAACAUGAGGUGUUUGAGUUUGAGUCUCUGCAUUCUGACAGUACAAUGGCUAUUGACUUCAUGCGUGCAGGUCAUACAAGUCCACCAGGAACCAGAGAAUCUGAUUCUUUCCUAUGGAUCAUCACUGAAAAUUUCCUGCUCUAUAACUGGUACUGAUAACCCAUAUCUUUACUGGUAUCACUGGAACGAGACAGCAGGGUUCACACUGGUUUUCACCUCUAUUGCUACUGGUUUAAUGGAUCCAGACACUGUGGGUCAGUUUAAAUCUUACAGACAUAAAGAUCUUCAGAUCGUUCUGGGGUCUGAUGGAGUGACUGAGAUCGGCUCUGCAGUGUGGUACUGUGCAGCCAGACCCCACAGCAUCCUAGUGCCAUCACAGAGCUGUACAAAAACCACAUCUAAUCAAGACUGACGUUCUUUGCAUAUAUUUCACAGUGUUAAGAUCACAGAAAAAUAAAUGGAUAAAAGCAUAA